rnacentral:rRNA from 1 species
UACGUAGGGUGCGAGCGUUGUCCGGAAUUAUUGGGCGUAAAGGGCUCGUAGGCGGCCUUCUAAGUCGAACGUGAAAUCCCCGAGCUCAACUCGGGAACUGCGUCCGAUACUGGUGGGCUUGAAUCCGGGAGAGGGAUGCGGAAUUCCAGGUGUAGCGGUGAAAUGCGUAGAUAUCUGGAGGAACACCGGUGGCGAAGGCGGCAUCCUGGACCGGCAUUGACGCUGAGGCGCGAAAGCUAGGGGAGCAAACGGGG